rnacentral:tRNA from 1 species
AAGUAAAGAAGUAAAUUUUACAUUUAGUUUCGACCUAAAAAUAGAGCCAAGCUCCAUACUUU